GGGUUGUGAGGUUAAGCGACUAAGCGUACACGGUGGAUGCCCUGGCAGUCAGAGGCGAUGAAGGACGUGCUAAUCUGCGAUAAGCGUCGGUAAGGUGAUAUGAACCGUUAUAACCGGCGAUUUCCGAAUGGGGAAACCCAGUGUGAUUCGUCACACUAUCAUUACGUGAAUACAUAGCGUAAUGAAGCGAACCGGGGGAACUGAAACAUCUAAGUACCCCGAGGAAAAGAAAUCAACCGAGAUUCCCCCAGUAGCGGCGAGCGAACGGGGAGCAGCCCAGAGUCUGAAUCAGCAUGUGUGGUAGUGGAACGGUCUGGAAAGUCCGACGGUACAGGGUGAUAGUCCCGUACACAAAAGUGCAUGUGUUGUGAACUCGAAGAGUAGGGCGGGACACGUGGUAUCCUGUCUGAAUAUGGGGGGACCAUCCUCCAAGGCUAAAUACUCCUGACUGACCGAUAGUGAACCAGUACCGUGAGGGAAAGGCGAAAAGAACCCCGGCGAGGGGAGUGAAAAAGAACCUGAAACCGUGUACGUACAAGCAGUGGGAGCCUCUUUAUGGGGUGACUGCGUACCUUUUGUAUAAUGGGUCAGCGACUUAUAUUCUGUAGCAAGGUUAACCGAAUAGGGGAGCCGAAGGGAAACCGAGUCUUAACUGGGCGUUAAGUUGCAGGGUAUAGACCCGAAACCCGGUGAUCUAGCCAUGGGCAGGUUGAAGGUUGGGUAACACUAACUGGAGGACCGAACCGACUAAUGUUGAAAAAUUAGCGGAUGACUUGUGGCUGGGGGUGAAAGGCCAAUCAAACCGGGAGAUAGCUGGUUCUCCCCGAAAGCUAUUUAGGUAGCGCCUCGUGAACUCAUCUUCGGGGGUAGAGCACUGUUUCGGCUAGGGGGUCAUCCCGACUUACCAACCCGAUGCAAACUGCGAAUACCGAAGAAUGUUAUCACGGGAGACACACGGCGGGUGCUAACGUCCGUCGUGAAGAGGGAAACAACCCAGACCGCCAGCUAAGGUCCCAAAGUCAUGGUUAAGUGGGAAACGAUGUGGGAAGGCACAGACAGCCAGGAUGUUGGCUUAGAAGCAGCCAUCAUUUAAAGAAAGCGUAAUAGCUCACUGGUCGAGUCGGCCUGCGCGGAAGAUGUAACGGGGCUAAACCAUGCACCGAAGCUGCGGCAGCGACACUAUGUGUUGUUGGGUAGGGGAGCGUUCUGUAAGCCGUUGAAGGUGKSCUGUGAGGSWUGCUGGAGGUAUCAGAAGUGCGAAUGCUGACAUAAGUAACGAUAAUGCGGGUGAAAAACCCGCACGCCGGAAGACCAAGGGUUCCUGUCCAACGUUAAUCGGGGCAGGGUGAGUCGACCCCUAAGGCGAGGCCGAAAGGCGUAGUCGAUGGGAAACAGGUUAAUAUUCCUGUACUUGGUGUUACUGCGARGGGGGGACGGAGAAGGCUAUGUUAGCCGGGCGACGGUUGUCCCGGUUUAAGCAUGUAGGCGGAGAUUCCAGGUAAAUCCGGAGUCUUGUUAACGCUGAGGUGUGAUGACGAGGCACUACGGUGCUGAAGUAACAAAUGCCCUGCUUCCAGGAAAAGCCUCUAAGCAUCAGGUAACACAAAAUCGUACCCCAAACCGACACAGGUGGUCAGGUAGAGAAUACCAAGGCGCUUGAGAGAACUCGGGUGAAGGAACUAGGCAAAAUGGUGCCGUAACUUCGGGAGAAGGCACGCUGAUAUGUAGGUGAAGUGAUUUACUCAUGGAGCUGAAAUCAGUCGAAGAUACCAGCUGGCUGCAACUGUUUAUUAAAAACACAGCACUGUGCAAACACGAAAGUGGACGUAUACGGUGUGACGCCUGCCCGGUGCCGGAAGGUUAAUUGAUGGGGUUAUCCGUAAGGAGAAGCUCUUGAUCGAAGCCCCGGUAAACGGCGGCCGUAACUAUAACGGUCCUAAGGUAGCGAAAUUCCUUGUCGGGUAAGUUCCGACCUGCACGAAUGGCGUAAUGAUGGCCAGGCUGUCUCCACCCGAGACUCAGUGAAAUUGAACUCGCUGUGAAGAUGCAGUGUACCCGCGGCAAGACGGAAAGACCCCGUGAACCUUUACUAUAGCUUGACACUGAACACUGGUCCUUGAUGUGUAGGAUAGGUGGGAGGCUUUGAAGUGUGGACGCCAGUCUGCAUGGAGCCAACCUUGAAAUACCACCCUUUAAUGGCUGGUGUUCUAACGUAGACCCGUWAYCCGGGUUGCGGACAGUGUCUGGUGGGUAGUUUGACUGGGGCGGUCUCCUCCUAAAGAGUAACGGAGGAGCACGAAGGUUAGCUAAUCCUGGUCGGACAUCAGGAGGUUAGUGCAAAGGCAUAAGCUAGCUUGACUGCGAGAGUGACGGCUCGAGCAGGUGCGAAAGCAGGUCUUAGUGAUCCGGUGGUUCUGAAUGGAAGGGCCAUCGCUCAACGGAUAAAAGGUACUCCGGGGAUAACAGGCUGAUACCGCCCAAGAGUUCAUAUCGACGGCGGUGUUUGGCACCUCGAUGUCGGCUCAUCACAUCCUGGGGCUGAAGUAGGUCCCAAGGGUAUGGCUGUUCGCCAUUUAAAGUGGUACGCGAGCUGGGUUUAGAACGUCGUGAGACAGUUCGGUCCCUAUCUGCCGUGGGCGCUGGAGAAUUGAGGGGGGCUGCUCCUAGUACGAGAGGACCGGAGUGGACGCAUCACUGGUGUUCGGGUUGUCAUGCCAAUGGCAUUGCCCGGUAGCUAAAUGCGGAAGAGAUAAGUGCUGAAAGCAUCUAAGCACGAAACUUGCCCCGAGAUGAGUUCUCCCUGACCCUUUAAGGGUCCUGAAGGAACGUUGAAGACGACGACGUUGAUAGGUCGGGUGUGUAAGCGUAGCGAUACGUUGAGCUAACCGAUACUAAUGAACCGUGAGGCUUAACCUUACAACGCCGAAGNAGAAUUGAGGGGGGCUGCUCCUAGUACGAGAGGACCGGAGUGGACGCAUCACUGGUGUUCGGGUUGUCAUGCCAAUGGCAUUGCCCGGUAGCUAAAUGCGGAAGAGAUAAGUGCUGAAAGCAUCUAAGCACGAAACUUGCCCCGAGAUGAGUUCUCCCUGACCCUUUAAGGGUCCUGAAGGAACGUUGAAGACGACGACGUUGAUAGGUCGGGUGUGUAAGCGUAGCGAUACGUUGAGCUAACCGAUACUAAUGAACCGUGAGGCUUAACCUUACAACGCCGAAG
rnacentral:rRNA from 1 species